GUGGUGGAUCACUCGGCUCGCUGGUCGAGGAAGAACG
rnacentral:rRNA from 1 species